CUCAGUCCUUACUUAUGAUUUAUUACUUUAUUGCUGAUGCUUUAUUAGUAAUAGGUCAUGUAAAUUCAGCAGUCUUUGUGAUACAAUGUAUAAAGGGUCAAUGUGCCUGCUGUAUGGUUGUUUGUUCAUAGAUACGAAGACUGAACCCUAUACUAGAUAAAGAAGCACUUUAUAUGCUCCUUCACUCCUGCUGUUGGUCAUUUUCAUUUGCUCAUUUAUACUAGAACACAUUGACCAGAACAAAGCUUCGACAAACGCUUUUCUAAUCCAACUCAAAAGUAAUUCUUAUACGGAAUUUUCCAGAAUAGUAAAUAGUAACAGGAGUAGAAACAUCAGAGAAUCAUUCUGAAUAUACAGAAUAGCAAAUAGACAGUAGCAGAAACACACAAAGAAAUGGAAGAGCAAGAAAAUUAUGACAAAACCUACUCAUUUAAGAUUGUUUCUUAAUUAUACGUGUUAUACAUGGACAAAUACAUUCUCUGCCAUUUCUCUCAAUCUUUAUAGUAACUGUUUCCGUAGCAACCUCAGAAUCCCAGCAACAAACCCUAGCCAUUGUGAUGUCACGUGACUCUUUACUCUGCCCGGCUCCAGUGCAUGCAUGAGGAGGAGCACUUUGGAUUACAUAUUGCCUUAUAGAAAUGUCCAUAGUAGUCUUAGUGCCAAACUCUAUAGGAACCGGAUUCCCAGGUGACGUCCAGAACGGGCGAGGGAGACGUCUGCUGAGAUCAGAACCGUCCUCCGGUCGGAAUCCUCUGGAUAGCACAGCCAUGGGCAAAGCUCCGAGGAACAGGAAGGGCUCCACUGGGACACUGAGGAGGCUCAGGAGUGAAGUGAAGAGUCAGUGCUGGAUUGCCGAGGAGAGACUGCGCGGGGUUUAAAUACUCUCAGAGUGUUUGUAGUAGUGACCGAUCCGAUGACAGCCAGGGGCUCUCUAUAAGCUGCCUCCACGGCACUCGGACCAGAGCAGAGGCAUGGCCACCGGCCACUGCAGCAGUGACACAGCCCACUGUGGAUAGCGUAGAGUGGGGCAAGGCAUAACACGCAGACAAAAAUAAUAGUCCAGAAUUGCCGUUUGCUCAUUUACUAAGCAAAAUUAUUAUUGGCCAUUAAGUUGUACAAUUAACUGUUUCCCUUCUA